GUGAAAAUGGAAAGGAAUUUGAGUGUGGAAAAGAAGAAGAAAUAAUCUAUUAUUAUUAAACCUUUCUCGUUUGUGUGCCUUCUUCUUCCCCAUCCCUCAUCUUUUCUCUUCUUCGUGAAGCCACCGCCCCUUUUCUUCUUUUCUUCUUCGUUCAAUCUCUUAUGUCAACUGCCCAUGCUCGUCAAGUUUUCGUUCAACAUCAAGCCGAGCUCCAAGCUUCGUUCGAGCACAGCUUCUCCGGUGAAGGUCACGUCACGUCGCCUCUCUAUUAACAAAGUGUCAUCGCCGCACGCGUUUUCCUACACCCGACGACUACCCAAGCUAACGCGUCCAAGGUUGUUUGUCAUUCCAUCAAGUCUCUGCCACCGCGUUGCACCAUUCGGGUCUUAACCAAGCGGUCGUUUCUGCUCUUUUUUUGUCUUCAUCUGCGAAGCUCCAGCUGCGCGGCGAAGUUUCACACUGCCUUGUCCCUCCUUGAACCAUCUAACUUGGUUUUGUUUGCCAUUACUUAGUUCGUUUGGAGCGCGGUCGCUUCUGCCUUACCAUGAAACAUUGGUUUUUGGUGGUAUUUGGUAAUAGUGGGUUUGACCACUUCUGCAAUUGUAGUUUUGUUGAGUUGUGACGUUAGAUUAAUUGGUUAACUUGUUAUUCAAUUCUUGAAGGUGUUGGAAAUAGCAUUCGAGUUCUUGGAAUUCACAACGAUUUUAGAUUUUAGUUGGAGUUUGAUUCUCCACUACUAGGUUGCUUUGUUGGACUUUAGUUCGAUCAAGAAGCUUAGAUAACCGUAAGGAAGGAAAAAGUAAUAUGUGGAGCAGAUCGACAAGGGACAAAAAGGACGUGUGAUUGCCAUAUGGGAACGCUCUUUCAAAAUUUGCUUUCGCUUCCAGCUUUUAAUGUUUUAGUGUUUCUCUGUAAUAUUGAUGAUUUAAAAAAGUUUCAUGUUUAGAACAACCGUUUAUUUCUUGAUGAUUUUAUAGACGAUACUUUUGAACCUUUAAUUUUGUUUGAAAUAGGGCCCAAUUAAAAAUUCUUCGAUGUUUAUUUGA